rnacentral:rRNA from 1 species
AGAGUUUGAUCCUGGCUCAGGAUGAACGCUGGCGGCGUGCCUAAUACAUGCAAGUCGAGCGAGGUAGCUUGCUACCGAGCGGCGAACGGGUGAGUAACACGUAGAUAACCUGCCUUUAAGACUGGGAUACCCGAGGGAAACUUCGGCUAAUACCGGAUAACAACGGAGACGGCAUCGUUUCCGCUUGAAAGGGGCGUUUGCCCCACUUUUUAGAUGGAUCUGCGGCACAUUAGCUAGUUGGUGAGAUAAUAGCCCACCAAGGCGAGGAUGUGUAGCCGACCUGAGAGGGUGACCGGCCACAAUGGGACUGAGACACGGCCCAUACUCCUACGGGAGGCAGCAGUAGGGAGUUUUCGGCAAUGGGCGAAAGCCUGACCGAGCAACGCCGCGUGAGUGAUGAAGGUUCCUUCGGAUUGCAAAGCUCUGUUACGAGGGACGAAUGCUUUGAUCAGGAAAUGGGUCAGAGAGAGACGGUACCGAGGAAGAAAGUGACGGCUAACUACGUGCCAGCAGCGGC